rnacentral:rRNA from 1 species
AUGUCUGUAGAUUUGGCUCACAAAAUAGUUUCGACUCUCAGAAGAUCUGAAAGAUGCAAGAACACCCGUGUAAUAUACAAUGAUGAUUAUGAAGAAGAUUCCGAGACUGAGAUAACUGAUUCUGAAGAAGUUGCCUCUCCUUCACCCUCAGAACUUAAUGUUGCUUCGGUUGAUGAUAGUUCCGAUGAAGAAGAUUCUCGCAAUGUGUCUCGCAAGGAUCGAAGAACUCGGUUUAAAGUUAAGAAUAAGAAGGCUCCAAAAACUAUUUCUGAAGGAUCUGGCACUAAGGAUCAGUCUCAGUGUGGGGGUCUUGGGAUUGAAAGAUCAAACGAGGAAGUUGAUCUUGAUGAGCCUCUUAUUGCUUUGAAACAGAAGAAAGAAAAGAUACCCCCUUCUAAGGCGAAAAGAAAGACGGAUACAUCAUCUUCUCCACAUGCUACAAAACUAGAUACAUCAACAAAGAGAGAUGAAAUUAGUCUUGUACAAACUUCCCUAUUCGAGUCAAAACUGCAUGACUUAGUGACACAGAAGCUUGAAAGAAGAGCUGUAGAUCAAGAGCACUCGAGAAUUGCUAUUGAACACACCUGUGACCAUUCAUCUGUUGUGCUGCAUCAGUUUCCCAUCGAAGAUAACUGUGGACAGCAGCCUGGUUUCAUCACCCAACCAACUGAAGCAGAUGUUUCUGAAGCCAAAGCGCAUUUGUAUGACAGUGUGGAACAGAAAAAGACUAAUAACAAUUUUUCUUCACUAGGUCCCAUUGAUGAAGUGAGCAACCAUCAUAAAUCUUUAGAUGAUACAAGUAAUUACACAGAUGUGAGGUGCACAUCGGUGGUCAUCCAACCUGAUUUAUGUGGAAGCACAGACAGGAUUUGCACUUCGCAUGAGGAGGUUGUGCAGAUGCUGGUGGAGGGUCAAUUAGAUUCACUAGUCUGCCAUGGUGUGAAAACAAAGGAUAUAUUACCGCAUAUGAAUGUUGAACAAGCAGCCACAGGCUACAAUUUUGCUUUUGAUAAGACUCUUGAUUUGGCUCAUACUGCCAAUUUUGACACUCAAGAUGGGCGGCUAGAAAAUAUAGUUUAUGGUGCUAUGAAUAAUAAUGUGCAGCGGAAGUGUUUUGAAACAAAAGCUUCUGUCGGAGUUCCAGAUACUGCUGUGACUCCAACAGAAGUUUCACAUAAUGGUCGCCUCUUACUUGCCAACAUGGAGGGGUCGUCAAAGGAUAUGAAUCACUUAAGUGGUACAGUGAAUGUUGACAUUUGUAGAUCUGUUAAUGAUCAAGAAUCAAGAGAAGCAUAUGUUGUUCAACAAAAGUUAUUCCAGGCUUGUGUUAACAUGGGCAAAACUGGACAUGCAAUAUCAGAUAGCUCCUCUAAUCCUGAAGAAACACAAGAAAUUUCUAAUGGGCAAACUAGGGCGUCUGAUUUUUUCAUUGACGAAGGAUCAAUUGAAGAUCAUACUCCAAAAAAACUGUUGUCCCAGAGAAAGAUUAUGUCGCCAACUUCUCAGGAGAAGUUUUGCAAUGCUUUGGCUGGUAUUGAUUUGUGUGGAGUCCAAAGGCUUGAGAGAAAGAUUAAUCUUGAAGAUUGUGAUGCAAGUAAUCAAUCAUUACCUCAGACAACAAACAAGCAAUACCGAUCUAUAUUAACCACAGACAGGAAACUUAAGAGCAGAACUUCUAUCUCCUUUACAAGCAAAGGAGUUCUUAAGUCAACUGAAUCCCCAUCUCCUGAGCUGAUAAGUUCAUCUGUUCUUUUGGACACUGAGAAAGCUGUUGAGUUUUCACAAAGGCAGAUGCAUGAUAUGGAGAGCAUUGCAGCAAAUCUUAUCAGGAGCUUGAAGCACAUGAGAAGUUUAGUGGACGAAAAUUUGUCGUCAGAAGCACAUUCUUUGCUUCCCAAUUUUAACACUGCUGAGAUGAGAGCAGCAUCCGAGGACGCAUUAAAGGUGGAGAGAACUACAAGGAAAUGGUUGACAAUAAUGAACAAAGAUUGCAAUCGUUUUUGUAAAAUAUUGACACUAGAGGGAAAGAAGGCUGCUUCGCAUCCAGAAUUGCCGAGGAAACGUAGGAAGAUAACGUUCGCGGAUGAAGCUGGAGGAACGCUCUGCUAUGUUAAUGUGUUUAGUGAUGUACAGACCUCCCCUUCUGCAUGCGAGGGUGAGUCAUAA